rnacentral:rRNA from 1 species
UACAGAGGUCCCAAGCGUUGUUCGGAUUCACUGGGCGUAAAGGGUGCGUAGGUGGUUAGGUAAGUCCGAUGUGAAAUCUCCAGGCUCAACCUGGAAAUGGCAUUGGAUACUAUUUAGCUUGAGGAGUGGAGGGGGGACUGGAAUUCUCGGUGUAGCAGUGAAAUGCGUAGAUAUCGAGAGGAACACCAGUGGCGAAGGCGGCAUCCUGGACCGGCAUUGACGCUGAGGCGCGAAAGCCAGGGGAGCAAACGGG